rnacentral:rRNA from 1 species
CAACUCACCUGCCGAAGCAACUAGCCNNGAAAAUGGAUGGCGCUCUAGCGUCGUGCCUAUACCGGGCCGUCAACGGCAAAGUUGGUUUCGUAUGGAGCCGUUAAGCCUUGACGAGUAGGAGGGUCGCGGCGGUGUGCGCAGAAGGGUCAGGGCGUGAGCCCGCCNGGAGCCGCCGUCGGCGCAGAUCUUGGUGGUAGUAGCAAAUACUCUAGCGAGGGCCUGGAGGACUGACGUGGAGAAGGGUUUCUUGUGAACAGCCGUUGCACAAGAGUCAGUCGACCCUAAGCCCUAGGAGAAAUCCGAUGUUGAUGGGUGGCUAAACAAGAAUCCAUGUUCUGAUGUUACUAACCAAACGUUUAAAGCAAAUUCCAAAACAAACUGACCGUUUUCCAUGCUUAAGCUUGGACGGUUCUUCUGUGGCGGACUUGUUUGACGAUUGGGCUCAACUAACCCCACAUUCACUUGGCCCUUCAGCUGAAGGCAAGGCGGAUCGUGAGAGGCUUGUUGACAAACUAUGUGACAACAGCUCCUGUCGGGCAAAAGGGAAUCCGGUUCCUAUUCCGGAACCCGGCUGCGGAACCGUCAUUUAGCGGGCACUCGCCUGCGAGCGCUCGUCGGGGUAACCCAACCUGGCCCGGAGACGCUGGCGGGGGGUCUGGAAAGAGUUUUCUUUUCUUUAUAAGCGUUCGAGUACCCUGGAAUCCUAUAGCAGGGAGAUAGGGUUUGGAACGCGAAGAGCACCGCAGUUGCGGCGGUGUCCGGACCUUCCCCCCGGACCUUGAAAAUCCGGGUGAGGGCUACGUGUAAGUCGCGCCGGAUCGUACCCAUAUCCGCAGCAGGUCUCCAAGGUUAAGAGCCUCUAGUCGAUAG